AUGUCUAGUACCCAAAGUUAAUAGUUAUUUUAUGUAUGUUGAAGCUAUGCAGGUACUAUCUCAGUGAUAUUAGCUAAAGAUGGUACUAAAGUGAUAACAUAUGAAAAUCAGAAGGCGCUAAAAUGAUUUAUCUUAUUUAUUUCUUAAAACAAAAGCCCCCAAAGUGCAGAAGUUUUAAAUUACAGAGUAAUUUUUUCAACUUUUCCACUUUUUAAUCAUAUUUGAUGAGCAAAAAUUAAUCUGUGAACAUUACAGGAUCAACAAGCAUUACCAACAGGUUAAAAUUAUCUGUGCAUCCCUUGGCCAUGGAAUAUAAAAAAUCAUCGCACUUCAACAGAUCUUUGACACAUAUAGAGGUCAG
rnacentral:misc_RNA from 1 species